GCCACUGAGCAAGGCGUAGCCCGCCAUGGCUGCCAGGCCUGCCAGCACAGAGAGGAUCUGGUUCCGGCGCCGGUACGGUUCCUCCUCAGUCUCCGGGCCCACUGGUGUCUGGUGUGGGGGUGGCACCUCAGCUGAGGGACAAGGAAGGAAGGUGGGGGGUGGGGGGCUAGUUCCUGGACUCCUGCCCACUUUCCCCAGGGCUGGUGCCCACCCCUUCCCCCGUCUGCCCCUUACCUCCAUCCCAGGGGAAGUAGAGGCUGAGGAUGUGUGUGCAGUAGGCGCAGAGGUUCUGCAGCCCCCGCAGGUGGGCCUGCAGCUUCCCGCUGGGCAGCUUGGCCUGCAGCAGCAGGGCCAAGUAGCUGAAGACAAAGGCGUCCAGGGAGGCGGGGCUGGAGCAGAGAGAGAGGGCAGGAGGAGAGACUGUGGCAGAAGGGGUGGGGACAGAGUGGGAGGAAGAGCGGGCCCUGGGAGGUGGGAGGUGGGCUCUGGCAGCGGAGGGCCCCCAGGGGAGGAGAGGACACCCGGUUCUGGACCUGGCGUGGGGAGGGCUCCCCAGGCAGCGCCAGCCUGGCCCUGAAUGGGACUCUAUCCCGGGGCUGCAUAAAGGGCACAUUGAGCGCCCCGCAGCCCUGCAGGCCCCCCCUGUGCCUGGCAGCCCUCCCACCUCACACACAGCCCCACUGUCAUCAGGCCCAGUGUCUGUCCCAAGGACCUCUCGUCCGGCGCCUGAGCCACCCCAGUCCCUGCGGCGACACCUGAACCCGUAUCUUCUCCCAAACCACCUAUCUUUCCCCUGGAGACAGACUCACGCAUCUCCGAAGAAGAACUUCUGAGAGCCCAGGCGCUGGGAGAGCAGGGUCAGGCAUUCCCGAGCCUCUUGGUACAGCUGUAGGGAGGACACAAGGCAGGCUCGCGGCUGCGGGAACAGAGCCACCUCCCGGCCCGGGCAGCCCCAUUCCUGACCAUCGUCUUUGGGGCUCCUCUCCUACAGCAGCCCCCUGCCCCAGAGGUACCUCCUUCUCCAGCUCUUCCUCGUUCUCAGGCCUGUGCUUCCCGCCCAGCAGCUGCAGCCGCUCCAUGAACUGCCGCUGCAUGCGGCCGGGAAGGAAGAAGUUCAGGGGAAAGGGCAUGGCCUCCGCAUACCACUUCCGGGUCACUUCCACAUAGUUCUUGGUGUCUACCCAAAAAGUAUGUAUCUGGAUUGGGGAGGUAGGAAGGAGGAAGCAGGUCUGAGCCAGUGCAGCUGCCUGACUUAGGGUGGGCCUCUGUGCUGCCCCUGGCCUCCGUGUGUGUGAGUGUGUCCAUGACACCCCCCCCCCCCCCCGCUUACUGGCCACGAACGCUGGGAGGUCUGGGCGCACUCACCAGCACCGGGAGCAGCUUCUCCUCCAGCAGAGACAUGAAGGCCAACGUGUCUGCCCCUUGCCGGGCUGACAGAUCAUAAUCAGCGUUGUACUUCUGUGGAGGAGAUGCCCGUGAGGCGGACACCGGGAGGCUCCAGGGCACGUCCCCAAGGAGGCAGGCAUCCUGUCUCCUGCUCCCAUCACAGCCUCUGAGUGUAGCAGAGGUAGAGCAAGCAGCUUUUCCUGCUGAGGCCCCCUUGCCUGGGCCCGUUCAGUAGCCUGUUGCUGUUGGCGGAAAGCCUGGGCCUCGGAGCCUGCUGGCCAUCAAGGUUGGGCGCCCACUGCGGGGAGAAAGGCAGGCCCAGCCGCAAACCAGGAGCAGCUCCCGGAGCCUCCACAGAAAGCUGGCAGCAUAUGCCUGCUGACGGCGACUUUCUAACAGGACCUUCCCCAGUCCAGGCACCACACGGCUGGCAGAGCGGAGCUCAGAUGCCGUGUGGGCCUCAGUCCAUGCCCCAGGAACUAGGCGACGCCUUCCUCAUGCCCAGGGCCCCUUGGCUUGUUCUCUCAAUGCCCAGGGCUAUUUCUUCUAUUUCAUUCCAUGGCCCGGGCGCCACCACACACAUUCUAACCGUACCCCAGCUCUCAGCCUGCCACACCUUUGUAGGCUCCAGUGUCUGGUCCUCAGCAACCCUCUCCACAUCCUGAGCAAGUUUUGUCCCCACAUAACCUCUGGAACAUGAUCCUUAAAAAAAAAAAUCUCUCUGAGCCUCAGAUUCUCCCCUGUAGAAUUUUCUCUCAAUGUGGCUGUGUUAGGAGAACACUCUGGAAACUGCAAAAGCUGUGCUCAUACAUAAGGAAUCAGGGCAGUGGCCCAGUCCCUGCCAGGAACUUUGCAUUCUACCUGGAUCCCCUCUCUCCAUGCCUCCCAAGCCUCCACUGAACUCCCCAGCUCCUUCACCCUUCGGAAAGCAGAAAUGAAGAAGAGGCCCCGCUUCUGACAAGUGUUCCCAUGAAUGAGGAGCCAUUGGGAAGAUCCUAAGCCCCCUCCUUUCACAAACAAGGAACUUAAAGCUCUGAGAGGUGAAGGAACUUGCCCAAGGUCACACAGUCAAGGACAGAGGGAAGAGCAUAGUCAAGCCCGUUCACCUCUCCCUCCCUGCCCAGCAGGCAAAAGGCACUGUGCCUCGAGAUGCCUCCCCAGCUCCCCAGCUUCAUGCCUGGCCUAGUGCUUUACUGCUCUCAGCAGCUCUGGGUGUGUCUCUCCCAUCGGACUACGUGUUCCUUGAAGCUCUGGGUCUCCUGCAUCUAGCUCGACAUUUAUCAAUAAAGGUGUGUUGCACUGAAA